UACGGAGGAUGCGAGCGUUAUCCGGAUUUAUUGGGUUUAAAGGGUGCGUAGGCGGGCUGUUAAGUCAGCGGUAAAAGCCCGGGGCUCAACCCCGGCGAGCCGUUGAAACUGGCUGUCUAGAGAUGUCGAGAGGUAUGCGGAAUGCGCAGUGUAGCGGUGAAAUGCUUAGAUAUUGCGCAGAACUCCGAUUGCGAAGGCAGCAUACCGGCGGCGAUCUGACGCUGAGGCACGAAAGCGUGGGUAUCGAACAGG
rnacentral:rRNA from 1 species